rnacentral:rRNA from 1 species
UACGAAGGGGGCUAGCGUUGUUCGGAUUUACUGGGCGUAAAGCGCACGUAGGCGGAUCGAUCAGUCAGGGGUGAAAUCCCAGGGCUCAACCCUGGAACUGCCUUUGAUACUGAGGAUCUUGAGUUCGGGAGAGGUGAGUGGAACUGCGAGUGUAGAGGUGAAAUUCGUAGAUAUUCGCAAGAACACCAGUGGCGAAGGCGGCUCACUGGCCCGAUACUGACGCUGAGGCACGAAAGCGUGGGGAGCAAACAGG